GUCUUCCUGGACCAAAAGGGAUGAAAAAGAGCUAUCAUAAGAAACUAGCUCUAGUAGAGCCAUGUGUGUGAACGUGCGGGUGUUUGUAUAAUGAUGCAAGAACAUUUCAUAGCAGGUGGCAUUUUUCUGAAGUUGUUCAUUAAGACUUCCCAGCAUUCCUACAGAUAUAAAUAGGUGAGGCCGCAGGCAGUGCUCUGGGUCCGGGAGCGCUGUCCCCAGCAUGAACGCGGCCGGCGGCGGGAGUGAAUGACUGCAGCUGCGACUUCCUUCCCGGGCCGUCCGAGCCUCCUUCCCCACCGACUUUCUUGUUUCGAUUAACUCCGUGGACUCCUCUUUCUUCGCCUGGAACAUCAAUAUGUGUCAUGUCAUUGUCACCUGUCGCUCGAUGCUCUGGACCUUGCUGAGUAUUGUGGUGGCUUUUGCCGAGCUCAUUGCCUUCAUGAGCGCAGACUGGCUGAUCGGGAAAGCGAGGAGCCGCGGCGGCGUGGAGCCGGCGGGCCCGGGCGGGGGCUCCCCGGAGUCCUACCACC
rnacentral:sRNA from 1 species